UAGGGAAUCUUCGGCAAUGGACGAAAGUCUGACCGAGCAACGCCGCGUGAGUGAAGAAGGUUUUCGGAUCGUAAAACUCUGUUGUUAGAGAAGAACAAGGACGUUAGUAACUGAACGUCCCCUGACGGUAUCUAACCAGAAAGCCACGGCUAACUACGUGCCAGCAGCCGCGGUAAUACGUAGGUGGCAAGCGUUGUCCGGAUUUAUUGGGCGUAAAGCGAGCGCAGGCGGUUUCUUAAGUCUGAUGUGAAAGCCCCCGGCUCAACCGGGGAGGGUCAUUGGAAACUGUGAGACUUGAGUGCAGAAGAGGAGGGUGGAAUUCCAUGUGUAGCGGUGAAAUGCGUAGAUAUAUGGAGGAACACCAGUGGCGAAGGCGGCUCUCUGGUCUGUAACUGACGCUGAGGCUCGAAAGCGUGGGGAGCAAACAGG
rnacentral:rRNA from 1 species